ACGAUUACGAAGUGAAGAUGAAGAACGUCUUCAAAUUCCUGGAAAACGGCGACAAGGUUAAGAUUACGCUUCGUUUCCGUGGACGCGAAAUGGCACACCAGGAACUCGGUCGUCAGCUGCUGGAGCGUGUUGCUGAAGACACCAAGGAGCAUGGCAAGGUCGAGAACUUCCCCAAAAUGGAAGGCCGCCAGAUGGUCAUGCUGAUCGGACCGCUUUCCAAAUAAUUGCGCUCCCAUAUAGAAUGCAAAAGGCCCCCGCGGAUGCAGGGGCCUUCUUUGUUUUUGCCUUUAGGCUUUAGCGCAGCAAGCUUGUAAUAUUGCGCA
rnacentral:misc_RNA from 1 species